GUUGCCUGCCAUUAUUCAAGCAGCCAAUCAGAAGACAAGAGGUUCUUCGUGUUUGUACUUGUCCGUUAUUAUUGAAAAGUUUUCGGUGCAUGAUGGCGUCCCUCGACAUCAAGAUUUUUCUUCCUAAAUAAGUUUCCUGCCUAGAAAGGGUGCAGUAAAAUUAUCAAAAAGGUGAUUUCUGGGUAAAAUACACGUUUCAUCAGCUGCAAAUAACAUUAUUUUCCAAAUUGGAAAUCUGAAUUGAAGACGAGGUAUCGCCCAAAGAAGGGGUUCGAAUGGCUUCAAAGUCAUCAUGUCAAAGAAAAUUUUCUUUUCUUGAGAAUCAUUUUGAAGAAAAAAAGUAUUGAAAGCUUUUUUUUUAUGUGCGACAACUGAAAGCAUUCCAAUCAACUGUGUUCCUUUUCCAAAUAAGAAUCAGAAGCUUCAUAUCUACAUUUGCUGAUACUGUGAGCACUGAAGGAGAGGAUGACUAUGAAUGCAGAAAAUCAGUGGAUCUGGAAUGCCUUGAAAAUCAUCAGUAAAAAUGGUGAGUCCCUCCUGUCUCGAUUUUUUUCUAUAUUUUAAUUAUCUUCAAUACUAUUGUUAUAGGUUUUUUUUUCGAUGAAUUAAAUUUUAAACGGUUUUUAA